UCAAAGGCUCUUUUCAGAGCCACCCACUGCCUCAGGAAAAGAGCUG
rfam:Cariama cristata contig90873, whole genome shotgun sequence.